GUAUCUUAACCAGUUGCACGAAACAGUUUGUUGGUCCACCGGUGAUGCAGAAGGAAAGAGCUGGUUUGUGCCAUGUGGUGACAUCUAACAGAUACCACCAGGUGUUUCUGACUUGUUGCUGGGUGACCGUUGUUUCACAUUUAAGGUCACUGGCCACAGACACCUGCAUUUUUGCAUGUUAUUGCUGAGACCGCAAAAGCCCGCUGAGGGGUUAAGCAAUUUGCCUAAGGUCACAUGAUAGGUAAGAGGAGGGAGACGGGUUUCCAUUCGGGUCUGUCUGACCCCACAGUCCAGCACUGGCCACCACCACGUUUCACAGCAGAACAUGGAACUCUUGACUUGUGUCAGUGACACGAGUGUGACAUUGGGAUACAAAUCAUUACUGUGGUGCACUUCUGGGCCCCAGGCUGUGUGGUUGGACUGACGCUGGGCCUUUGUUGAAGGUUCAGGCUGAUGUCCAUUAACCUGCUGACUGAUCUAGCCUGGGUCUCUGGCUCAACUCAUUCCUCUGGAAGAAAUGGAAAUACAUGCCAUUUUGGAAAAUACAAGAAGCAAUAACGAAAAAAAUGAAAAUAAUCUAUAAUCCUACUAGCCAAAGAUAACUACAAUCAACAUUUUGGGAUUUUCCCUGUGACUUUUCAAAAUGUAUUUUAUCCUGCUUAUUGUUAGCGCAUGACUUUAUAUCUUAAGGAUUUUUUCAUGUUGUGACUUUGUAAACAUCUGUUUCACGGAAGAAGGGCAAAAUGAAUAUUUUGAAGACUUAGGAAAUAAUUUCUGAAGUUAAUUGCACCAAUUUACAGUCUUACCUGAUAUAUGUGAGAGUUUCUUUCCUUUUUUUUUUUAACUUUAAGUUAAAUGAAAUUACAUUAAAUUUUUACUUUCAUUUUUUGAAGUUUCUAUUUCACUUUUCCCAAUACACUUUGCGGAUGCGUUAAACAUCUUUGCUGUUAAAACAAAAUUUUUUAAAAAAGGUAUUUUAUCACAAUUCUUUGAAGUUUGUGUCGAUUCCAUGCCUCCUCUGGGGUUGCUCAGUUGGCUGGAAAAACAACCAUGCUGGUUGGUUUCACUUAACUCCAUAACUAGUGAUCUCAAGUGAGCUUUUGUUUUUGCCUGGCAAUCUGCCUCCAUUUUCCACUCUCCUAAACUAUUUCACACCUUCUCCUCUUUCCUCCAACCUUCGUCUCCCUCCUCACUCUCUGCUGAUGAUCUCAGUCCAUAUUUCAUUGAGAACAUGAAUAGAGCUCCCACAUGCUUCCCUGGCCAUCCUGCUUGUAUUGAUGCCCAUUUACUCUACUCGAUCAUGAUGCCCAUGAUCUGAGAUCAGUCCCUUUUGAUGCUCUCUAGAUUUAAUCCUUUCUUGCCCACCUAAGCACUUCACUCUGGCAAGUCUCUUUUCCUCCUACAUUACUAUUCCAGUUAUCAUACAAACAUGCUCUAAUGUCUCCUAUCUU